GGAGGGGUUAACAGGAAGGCUGUGCAGAUAUGAUUGCAGAAAUACAUGGGAUAUUUCUUUAGUUUCUUCUCAGUUUUGCUAUAAAUUUUAGAAACUGACUCAAAAAAUUGCCGAAGUCCGGCUGGGCAAAUAACCGGGAGGUGACAAGCAACUUGAAGGUUGAAACGGGAACUGCUUUAUUGCGAGUGAACUCAGCGGGAACUGAGUGAGAACUCAAAGUAGCAGGAGCCGCUUCUCUGCGGGACAGCAGAGGUGUACAUACUUAACUAAUUACACACAGCUUAACUCAAUUAACAUCUAGAUACAGCAGUCAGUCAUUAAGGAAUCCUCAUCAUCUUAAUGGCUCGCUGGCGUUGCUUCACAAACCACUCCUCCUGGCAAAGUGCCAGGUGCCAUCUUGACUUGAUUUGCAUCCUCAACAAAAAGUAGUCUUUUUUAAAGAAUGCUUUUGUUUCCACAUCUUCAUGUGGGGUUGUUAUUUCCUGAUUUGAUUUCUGACGUAAGGAAAGCAGAGUUACACACCCCUGGCCAGUUCUGGGGUAGGAAUGGGGCGCAGGGUGUCUGCAGCAGAGAGCCCUGCUCCUGCUUCUUAGCCUCCACUGGGGAGUUAGGUUCCAGACCAGAGAGGGGGUGAGGCUCUGUCUCUUUCCCACCCAGCUUUACCCUAAAGCAGCUGAUCUCUUUUGGGUGAGGUGAAGGUAAAUCUAAGAAAUUGCAACAUUUUUGUAGCUUGACAAAGAAGAGAUGAGGCCCGGAACCAGGGGUUCUUAAGUACUCUGCCUUUCAAGUACAGAGGAAAAGAGAACCAAAUUCUUGAGAACAAGCAAGGGGCAACUUCGGAAGCAAGCUAAAGUCUGGAACCAUCCAGCAAAGCUGACCUUGGAGGUGGGCAGGAUGCAGGAAGAGCCUCUCAGGGAAGAACCCAGCAGCCCAGGCACUGGAGAAGCAAGUGGCUGUGGGAACUGAGGCUGCAGGACACUGUGGUCAGUGAGGGGAAGGUCGCCGCAGCUGCACCACCACAAGGGUGGACUACUCGUUGACUGAAGGAGGACAGAGCUCUUCAGGAAGUAAAAAAGAGGAGAAUUAACAUAUCAAAUGUUGGAGAGGGGCUGGGAAUAAAGCUCAAUGGGUAGAGUGCUUGCCUCGCAUGCAUAAGGCCCUCGGUUCAAUCCGCCCCCCCACCACCACCAAGAAAAAAAAAAGAGUUGGGGAAAUUAAACUCAGAUGGGUUUUGAAGACUUCCAAAAUUAGAAUACUCUUUUUUUUUCUUGGCUGAGUAAAACUUUAGGACACAGGAGGAGGGAGGAGAAGUCAGAACCCUGGGAAGCUCUGGUGGGAUCACCUAAUUUGGAGUAAAACAGGAAGAAUCUUCCCUUUCCCACCCUGUUCCCAGCCCAGCCUCCGGAUAGCUGAGAACAGACUGUGGCUGGCCAGGAAGCAUCUUGUGGGUCGCAUUUCUCUUUCUUUUACUUUCUGUUUUCACCCUAGUGGGGUCCCGCUGGGAUUGGCUCCAGGGACACAGACAUCGUUUGGAACAUCAACCAGCAGAGACAGGAGUAUUUGUGGAAACUCCUGUUGGUAGGUUUGUAGCUGGAUAGAGGAAGUGUUGUCCUUGUCUCUGUGGCUUCACAUGGCUUGAGACGGUGUCCACCACUGAAAGAAGACGCCCUCCAUCAAGGGGCAUCCGAGGAUCAGUGGAUGGUUCAGCGGGUGGUGGAUUGAUACUGUGGUUUAAGUGUGCUUCCCAAAAGUUCACAUGUUGAAAUCUUAAUUCUUAACCUCAGUGACCACUGUUGGGAGGUGCAGUGUAAUGGGAGGUGUUUGGUCAUGGGGUGGAGCCCUCAUGAAUGGAUAAAUACCUUUUUCCUGGGGGUUCUUGAUCUCCUAGAACUGAACAAAUUACCAUGAGAGCAGAUUGUUCUAAAGCAAAGCUGCCCUUGUAUUUUUUUCUCUUCCUGAAUUCAUUCACUUGACCUUCCACUUUCCACCAUGAAUUGAAGCAGCACAAGGCCCUCACCAGACGCAGCUGCCCUGUCUUGGUUUUCCCUACCUCCACAAACCACGGGCCAAAAUAUGUCUUUUUCAUUUAUAUACUACCUUCUCUCUAGUAUUUUGUUAUAGCAACAGAAAAUGGACUAACACAAUUAACUGCAAAUGUAAAUUUCAGCGUGGAGUAUGGCAGCCAGCUCUCCAUCACCAGUGGGCUUCCUUCACUGGUUUUAACCUUGAAAGCAGUUCUUCAGUCUGUCAGGUCUUUCACCUCUACUAACACUACAGUCUAACCUAGGGCAUUGUCUCCUGCUUGGAAUAGCACAGUAGCCUCAUAGUUGGCUUCCAUCUUCCAUGCUUCCCGUCAUCCAAUACAUUUUCCAUCUAGCAUCCUGAGACAUUCUUUUAUUUUUAUUUUUGGCUUUUUAAAAAUUUUUACUUGUUCAUUUUAGUAGAACAAAUUUUGGCAUAUCAUCUAUACAUGGAGUAUAACUUCCCAUUUUUGUGGUUAUACAUGAUGUAGAGUUACACCAAUCAUGUAUUCAUAUAUGAACAUAGAAGAAUUAUGUCUAAUCCAUUCUCCUGUCUUUCCUAUUCCCAUCCCUCCUGUCUUCCCCUCACUCUGCCCUAACCAAUCUGUAAAUCCCCCCUUCCAUUGUGAGUUACCAUCUGCAUAUCUGAGGGAACAUUUGCCCUUUGGUUAUUUGAGAUUGGCUUACUUCACUUAGCAUGGUAAGUCUCCAGUUCCAUCCAUUUACCAGCAAAUGCCAUAAUUUUAUUCUUCUUUAUGACUGAGUAAUAUUCCAUUGUGUUAUGUGCCACAUUUUCUUUAUCCAUUUAUCUGUUAAAGAGCACCUAGGUUGGUUCCAUAGCUUAGCUAUUAUGAGUUGAGCUGUUGUAAACACUGAUGUGGCUGCAUCACUAUACAUAGUAUGCUGAUUUUAAGUUCUUUGUGUAUAUACCAAGGUGUGGGAUGGUCACAUGAGUCAAAUGGUGGUUCCAUUCCAAGUUUUCUGAGGAAUCUCCAUACUGCUUUCCAGAGUGGUUACACCAAUUUUCAGUCCCACCAGCAACGUAUGAGUGUGCCUUUCCCCCCACAUCCUCACUAACAUUUAUUGUUACUUGUAUUCUUGAUAAUUGCUGUUCUGACUGGAGUGAGGUGAAAUCUCAGUGUAGUUUUUUUUUUUUUUAAAUCAGAUCUUUAGUAGCAGUCUUUAGAAUACUCAGUCUAGAUUUAAAAAGUAAUAAUUUGUUAAAGCAUGCACAAAAGUGUAACAGUGAAUAAAAAUCACAACUGACAAAUAUAUUGGUUAACAUUCCAAACAUGUAUAACCAAUGAACAUGGCCUAGGAUUUUUAAUUUGCAUUUCUAAGACAUUCUUUUAAAUGUUAGAUUAUGUCAUUCCUCUUCCAUGAUUUCGCUAGAAUAGGGCUGUCCAAUAUGAUACCCACAUGUGUCUGUUUAAAUUAAUCAAGAUGAAAUAGAUUUUAAAAUUCAGUUCUUUGGUUACACUAAUCACGUUUCAAGUGCUCAUUAGCCACCUGUGGCCAUGGUCACCGUAGGUCAGUGCAGACAGAGUGUUUCCAUUAUCCCAGAAAGUUCUGUGCUGCUCUUGAAGAUGCACAACUUCUCCCUCAGAAGAGCAAGUGGUGCCCAGAGCUGCUGACCAAGUAGCUUCCCUGGUCUCCAGGACCUGCUGGCUGUGAAGCAGUAGGGGAAGAGGAAUUGGAGGAGCUGUUUUCUUCUCUCUCCUUUCUCUUCUCCCUAUUCAGGAGGCACUAUUUCUUGCCUUUGGCUGAAAUUGGUGGCAACUCUUCUUGAUUUUUGUCUAGAAGCUUAAUCUAUUGAGUUUUGAAAAAAGUUUGAAGAGAAAGGAGAAACCCAAGUCCAAUGUGCAGAACAAUGCUUAAAAAAAGAAUUCCCCCCAAGUUAAAGAGUGAUUGCCCCCAGUUGCAGAAAGGGAGAGAGGUCUUCAGGUCUGAUAUGUAGGCUACACAAGUGCCCUGAAACCUGUUCCAAAGAGGAGGGGAGGAAGAGUAGACCCCCGGAAGGCUGCAUCCCCGGGCAGAACCCUCUCCUUGCAAAACAAGCUGUACCUCAAGUAGGGCCCCAGCAGAGAAGCCGGCCCAAAGGAAGGGUCUGGGUCAAAAGAAUGGACCUUUUCUCACACAGGUGUAAAGAGCAUGGAGGAUGAUGCAGGCUGGAGGGACCCCUUCAUAUGGCGGCCCUGGGUAAAAUCCCAGAACCCAGAUAGCACCCCUGGGGGGAGGGAGCCCUGCUCGGAGGUGGAUAUCCCGUCCAGUUGUUGGGCGGGGCUGAGUUGACGCCACACUGAUGGGUGGUAUGAGAGGGUGCAGGGCAUGACUUUUAUCCUUUUGCAGAAGCAGAGCUCAAGUCCAGAGCAGCUGAAGGAUCAGAUGACCAUAAGUCUCAGUUCCCUGGAAAGUUCAGCCUGUUCUCCCAGAGACUUGUCGGUUACUUCCUUAUCUUAAAUAGAGGGAGUCAGAGCCGAGGAGCAAAAGCCCUUUCCCCCUGGUUUCUGAGCAGAUGACUAAGAGCCAAGGCUUUGAUAUCAGACAACUGGAGUUCAGACAUCUGCUGACGCCUCUUACUUGUACCCCCCUGGGGGGGUGUCGGUGUCUAUUCAGGCCAUUAUAACAAAACGCCUCAGACUGGGUGGUUUAUAAACCUCAGAGGUUUAUUUUUCACCAUUUUAGGGGCCAAAAAAGUCCAGGAUCACAUCACUGGUGGGACUGCAAAUUGGUGCAGCCAAUAUAGAAAGCAAUAUGGAGAUUCCUUGGAAAACUGGGAAUGGAACCACCAUUUGACCCAGCUAUCCCACUCCUCAAUGUAUACCCAAAGGAUUUAAAAACAGCGCAUUACUGGGACUACAGCCACAUCAAUCUUUAUAUCAGCACAAUUCACAAUAGCUAAACUGUGGAGCCAACCUAAAUGCCCUUCAGUAGAUUAAUGGAUAAAGAAAAUGUGAUAUAUAUAUAUAUAUACAUAUAUAUAUAUACACACACACACACACACACAAUGGAAUAUCACUCAGCUUUAAAAGAGAAUAAAAUCAUGGCAUUUGCAGGUAAAUGGAUGGAGUUGGAGAAUAUAAUGCUAAGUGAAGUUAGCCAAUUCCAAAAAAUCCAAAUGUUGAAUGGUUUCUCUGAUAUAAGGAGGCUGAUUCAUAGUGGGGUGGGGGAGGACCAUGGGAGGAAUGGAGGAACUCUAGAUAGGGCAAAGGGAAG
rnacentral:lncRNA from 1 species